rnacentral:rRNA from 1 species
CACUAUGCAUAGCCGUAAACCUAACAGCUCCUUACAUCCGCUGUUCGCCCGGGAACUACGAGCGUAAGCUUAAAACCCAAAGGACUUGACGGUGCUUUAUAUCCCCCUAGAGGAGCCUGUCCUAGAACCGAUAAUCCCCGUUAAACCUCACCUUUUCUUGCUCAUUCCGCCUAUAUACCGCCGUCUCCAGUCUACCCUGUAAAGGACCCAUAGUAGGCGAAAUUGGUACAGCCCCAGACGACAGGUCGAGGUGUAGCGUAUGAAAAGGGAAGAGAUGGGCUACAUUCAGUGAAACACUGAAUACGGAAAGCUAAUUGAAACAUUAACUUGAAGGAGGAUUUAGCAGUAAGUGGCGAAUAGAGAGCCCCACUGAAAUUGGCCCUGAAGCGUGUACACACCGCCCGUCACUCUCCCCGAGCAGAAAAAUUCUUUACCUAAAAAGCCAAAUAAAUGUAAAGGGGAGGCAAGUCGUAA